GACGAACGCUGGCGGCGUGCUUAACACAUGCAAGUCGAACGGAAAGGCCCUGCUUUUGUGGGGUGCUCGAGUGGCGAACGGGUGAGUAACACGUGAGUAACCUGCCCUUGACUUUGGGAUAACUUCAGGAAACUGGGGCUAAUACCGGAUAGGAGCUCCUGCUGCAUGGUGGGGGUUGGAAAGUUUCGGCGGUUGGGGAUGGACUCGCGGCUUAUCAGCUUGUUGGUGGGGUAGUGGCUUACCAAGGCUUUGACGGGUAGCCGGCCUGAGAGGGUGACCGGCCACAUUGGGACUGAGAUACGGCCCAGACUCCUACGGGAGGCAGCAGUGGGGAAUAUUGCACAAUGGGCGGAAGCCUGGUGCAGCAACGCCGCGUGCGGGAUGACGGCCUUCGGGUUGUAAACCGCUUUCGCCUGUGACGAAGCGUGAGUGACGGUAAUGGGCAAAGAAGCACCGGCUAACUACGUG
rnacentral:rRNA from 1 species